GUCCCCCCUUAUUCGAUUACCUCGUAUUCGUAAUCAGCGAUUUUAAUUAAUUAUCCUAUAUGUUUCCCCACUUUCAGUACUCAGUCAUCACCACCGAGCAGAACACCGCAGGUUCCCUGGAAAUUUAUCAACUCUAAAGGCCCUACCUAUUUAGAGUCCCUAGUUUCCCUUUAUUAUUUCAUAUUCAUCAUACCCUCUAGAAAAUACUUUACUCAGGUCUGGUUACCGUCAUAAACCACAAUGCACGUUACCCAUCUCUAUUACCCGUAGUCUAUGGUCGACGCCAGACGCCAUUACAGCUCAUCGCUGUUUGUCAUGUAUGUAUCUAUUUCGCUUCGCUUCCUUAGCUACUACAUAAAAUAAUAUAAAUAUAUAUAUCACACCUCCUUUAAGAUAAAUAUAACCAGUUCAUAUAGUGGGUUAUAAGUUUAAGUGUGUUUAUUGGCGUGUUUUUGUAGUUGGUGCUAAAUCUUCGCAUUCUAUACACUACCUCUGAAUAUCAUCAUGCCAUAUCUCCUUUUCCUUUCCUACUUUAGAUUCUCUCUUGUCAUUUACCGCUGUGUACCAUUAACUCACUGUAUAGGUUAUUCAUCUUCGUGCAUCUACGAAAUCACGUAGCCAACAGGCCACCGGCCUCCAGAUCAAUCGUGCUCAUCCCACUACCCAGACAACCAAGCAAGCAGAUCUUUAAGUACCUUCAUAUUUACCAUGAGGUCUAUCACAGUCUACGCUGUCUCUUGUCUUACUAAUAUACCUCUCUUAUGCCUAGGAAAUUAUUCCCUCGGUAUCAGCAUUCGUGCUCACUUUACACGUACUAUCUUUUCUUAUAUCACCAAUUAUACGGUAAAUAUAAGCCUUUUGUAAUUAGCUAAACAUUAAAUAAAUAAAUAAAUACUUUAGUAUAGACACUAUCCUUGGCCUCGCGGUCUGUUUCAUAAAUAAAAUAAAUAGCUACGUAUAGCAACUAAAUAAGUAACCUUAUCCGGUUGGCGAAACCCAGUAUAAUAUCCAUAGUUCUAUUUAGUAUAGAUAACAGCCUCCACUAACCCGUAUUAGAUGAAGCCAUUCCAGUAUCCUGGUCAGCGGAGGAACUGAUUCAAAUUUUGUUUCCAUUCCUUAUAUAAUUCUACAUCUAAUUAGCAUUUCUUUUUGGGGUAAUCGACCUACGUAUACUCAAGAGGCAACUCCUAGACCAUCGUGCAGUACCAAUCCGUAAGGCGAAAAUGGAAUAUUAUACAUUGUUUUAAACUACCCUUUCGUAUCGUGGAUAUCCUACAGGUUUGUUCGGAUAAACUUCCCAUUGAGGAUUCAGGCUGAUUCUCUCUUGCCAAUUUUACUGGAUUAUUAGUGAUUGAUGUGGGACCAGAACUACAAAUAUAUUUGAUGUUUCAGGGCAGUUGAAGAGUGUAUGCUCCGGAUCAUCGUUCGGGUCAUCACAGAAGCAACACUUCGGCGACCUCUCUUUACCUAUUUUAUU